rnacentral:rRNA from 1 species
CAGGGCUUGACAUGCCUCUGACCAUCCUAGAGAUAGGAUUUUACCUUCGGGUACAGGGGACACAGGUGGUGCAUGGUUGUCGUCAGCUCGUGUCGUGAGAUGUUGGGUUAAGUCCCGCAACGAGCGCAACCCUUGCCUUUAGUUGCCAUCAUUAAGUUGGGCACUCUAGAGGGACUGCCGAUGACAAAUCGGAGGAAGGUGGGGAUGACGUCAAAUCAUCAUGCCCUUUAUGUCCUGGGCUACACACGUGCUACAAUGGUCGGUACAACGAGGAGCUACACAGCGAUGUGAUGCAAAUCUCUAAAAGCCGAUCCCAGUUCGGAUUGUAGGCUGCAACUCGCCUACAUGAAGUCGGAGUUGCUAGUAAUCGCGAAUCAGAACGUCGCGGUGAAUGCGUUCCC